AGCGAACGCUGGCGGCAGGCUUAACACAUGCAAGUCGAGCGGGCACUUUCGGGUGUCAGCGGCGGACGGGUGAGUAACGCGUGGGAACGUGCCCUCUGGUUCGGAAUACUCCGGGGAAACUGAGCUUAUAACGGAAAAGCCCCUUUUGGGGAAGGCUUGCUGCCGGAGGAUCGGCCCGCGUCUGAUUAGCUAGUUGGUGAGGUAACGGCUCACCAAGGCGACGAUCAGUAGCUGGUCUGAGAGGAUGAUCAGCCACACUGGGACUGAGACACGGCCCAGACUCCUACGGGAGGCAGCAGUGGGGAAUAUUGGACAAUGGGCGCAAGCCUGAUCCAGCCAUGCCGCGUGAGUGAUGAAGGCCUUAGGGUUGUAAAGCUCUUUUAUCCGGGACGAUAAUGACGGUACCGGAGGAAUAAGCCCCGGCUAACUUCGUG
rnacentral:rRNA from 1 species